UGACUGGGUCCCACGCAAUGGAAGCGUAUGAACCUCGUCAGGUCCGGAAGGAAGCAGCGAUAAGUGCACACUGCAUGUGCCGUGGAUCAAUCUGGUCUGAGC
rnacentral:SRP_RNA from 3 species